GAACAGGAGUUUCAGCGCGGAAGCUGAGACUAACGAGAUGGAAGAGAGACCGUGUGCGAAAAGAGGGAGGACCAAUCGAGAUGAUUGGAACUCUGUCCCCGUUAGCAACGGGCUCUGCCAAUGUGUGCCCACUCCCAUAUAGAAUUGCUCAGUCACGUUAACCUUUUAUCCCCACAGCGCGUGGAGGUAUUACUUUUUCGACUGAUGAGCAAGAGGCUGCCGUGGACCAAGAAUUACCUGCACUGGUAGCUCCGUCUCCGCAAGGGCUGCAAAUACUUGAACUUUUCUUCUGAAAACGCGGUCAAUUUGACUAACCCCUUUGAUGGGGGAAACCCGAUAUCCGGCACGAUUGGGGCGUGGCCAGUGAUAUGACCAGACGCAUCGUGGGCUGUGUCUUCUGCGCGU
rnacentral:lncRNA from 1 species